UUUCUUUCAUCGGUACUUCAUCUCAAACCAAACACGACAGCUGAAAAAGUCAUGCCUCUAAUCAAUUUAAAUUAGGAAGCCUCCAAAUCAACGGAAGAGAUUGAGAGGAUAUGGUCCUAUGGAUAAAUAAUUGGGAAUUAGCCCAGGAAGCAGAUACCCCCAUACUAGAUGUUGCUCCCAUUUCUCAUAACAACCAAUCUUCUUAAAAAUUGAAGAAUUGAACUUCAAAAUCUGGAUUUAGUGUUUGAGAGGUAUGGGAAGCAAGCUUUUGUAAAACCGAUUCAAAUUUUCUUGGGUAACAGAUUGCUGAAACGGAAGCAUCCAAAGCUAAGAAAAACUGCAAAACCCAACAAUAUCAACUAUUUGUUGAUCAGAUUUCGUCUUCAAAAAAAAAAAAAAAAAAGAAACCCUGAAAGAUAAAUAAAACCCCACAUGAAUUCGACCUCCCAAAUCAAGUCUCAAAGCAAUGAAGAAUGAUCAGUGGAAAUGACAAUGGUGAUGGUGGUGGCAGUCAAAUCCGAAGCACUGCAUCAGAGAAUAACCGGCCGCGGAGACGCAUCUCCCUAUUCCUCUAAAGAUAGAGGACACCACCAAGCAUGGCCAGCAACAGCACAGCAAGAGGAGACCAUGCUCAUCAUCAUCGUGGUGGUGGUGGUGGUGAUGACCCAUCAACUUUCUUCAACCUUCUGACAAACACAACACAAACCCUUAUUUUGGAUGAAUCUUCGCUGUUAUCUAAGAGAACAAAUAUUUUCAGAAAAGGAAAAUUAAUGGGCUCACCUUCACCCAGGAUUUCUUCAGGAGCCUUGUUUUAUCUUCUCUUCUGCAACUAUCAACCACCCUGAAGCAAAACUGGGUCCUUGUCUGGGAGAGAAGCAAAGAUUUGGUGGAAAUCCAGAAUCCAGAGGAAGAUUAGGAGAAAAGUGCGUUGGCUUUGCUGUCAUAAUGUUGGUGUGGUCCUUCAUUUAUUCACUGGAGGACAAACAUGCUUUCUUAACUAUUAAGGUUUUUGUUUUUAUUUUUUAUUUUUUAUAAUUUUUACUUAAGAUUAUUUUUAAGUUUUAAUAAAGUGAUAUGAUAAUGACACGUGUCAGAGACGAAGGGUGCUUUUGAAAUUGUGAAAGUUUUUGGAAAGAACAGGGAGAAUCUUCCAAAAUCAUAAAACUUCAAACAUGAAUAAAUAGAAAUAGAAAAAAGAGAUAAAAUCUCAAAAAAAAUUAUUAAUAGCAUGAAGUAUGAAAUCACAUCUUACUCAAUAGCAGCAAUAAUGUGUAUUUGUUUAUGGAAAACUUGUUGAGAUGAUU
rnacentral:lncRNA from 1 species